UAGGGAAUCUUCGGCAAUGGGGGCAACCCUGACCGAGCAACGCCGCGUGAGUGAAGAAGGUUUUCGGAUCGUAAAGCUCUGUUGUAAGAGAAGAACGUGUGUGAGAGUGGAAAGUUCACACAGUGACGGUAACUUACCAGAAAGGGACGGCUAACUACGUGCCAGCAUCCGCGGUAAUACGUAGGUCCCGAGCGUUGUCCGGAUUUAUUGGGCGUAAAGCGAGCGCAGGCGGUUUAAUAAGUCUGAAGUGAAAGGCAGUGGCUUAACCAUUGUUCGCUUUGGAAACUGUUAAACUUGAGUGCAGAAGGGGAGAGUGGAAUUCCAUGUGUAGCGGUGAAAUGCGUAGAUAUAUGGAGGAACACCGGUGGCGAAAGCGGCUCUCUGGUCUGUAACUGACGCUGAGGCUCGAAAGCGUGGGGAGCAAACAGG
rnacentral:rRNA from 1 species